UCUGUUCUGUUUCCCCAGAAGCUCGCAAAGAAGGAAGUGAAAAGUAAUGGCAAAUACCGUAGUCCUCCCUUUUUUGAGGUUUCACUUUCCCGGGUUUCCAUUACUCACGGUCCAUUGCAGUGGGAAAGCAGAUGGUUCUCCUUCUGAUGUAUUGUCAGAAGGUCAAUGGUAGCCUAACUAUGUCACAGUGCCUACUUCCUCUCGUCACCUAGGCGUUUUAUCAUCCCACAUCAUAACCUUGUCUCCUGGUUCAGGUGGAAGACCCUGAGGACAAACCAUGGGAACGGAAGCUACCCCCUCAAGCAUAAGGACUGCCCUGAGCCGGCAAGACAUCACCCACGAUUGACUCCAAGAGAGUGGUCCAUUCGACCUGCACUACCCACCCAUCUUUGCCCCACAUUUUCCUUAUGUAAAUCUGGAAGUACUUUCCGCACUCCGGAGAGUCUUUGACAGCCCAUGCUGUCUUCCCAGUGUGGGCAUCACUGAGAUAAAUUCCUUCCUUGUUUCCCACCA